rnacentral:rRNA from 1 species
CCUACGGGUGGCUGCAGUGGGGAAUAUUGCACAAUGGGGGAAACUCUGAUGCAGCAACGUCGCGUGAAGGAUGACGGCUCUCGGAUUGGUAACCUUCGUUUUUAUUGAAGUAUAAUAACGUAAGCAUACGAGCAAGUCACUGCUAACUACGUGCCAGUAGCCGCGGUAAUACGUAGGUGGCAAGCGUUGUCCGGAAUUACUGGGUUUAAAGGGAGCGCAGGCGGGAAGCUAAGUCAGCUGUGAAAACUACGGGCUUAACUUGUAGAGUGCAGUUGAAACUGAUUUUUUUGAGUGAAGUAGAGGUGGGCGGAAUUCGGGGUGUAGCGGUGAAAUGCGUAGAUAUUACGAAGAACACCGAUGGCGAAGGCGGCUCACUGGGCUGUAACUGACGCUGAGGCUCGAAAGUGUGGGGAGCAAACAGGAUUAGAUACCCUAGUAGUC